GAUGAACGCUGGCGGCGUGCCUAAUACAUGCAAGUCGAGCGCGAGAGUGAGGAGCUUGCUCCUCAUGAUCGAGCGGCGGACGGGUGAGUAACACGUAGGCAACCUACCCUUGAGAUUGGGAUAACUACCGGAAACGGUAGCUAAUACCGGAUACGACUUUUCCACAUAAGUGGAAUGGUUAAAAGGCGGAUUUAUCUGCCGCUCAUGGAUGGGCCUGCGGUGCAUUAGCUAGUUGGUGAGAUAGUGGCUCACCAAGGCGACGAUGCAUAGCCGACCUGAGAGGGUGAUCGGCCACACUGGGUCUGAGACACGGCCCAGACUCCUACGGGAGGCAGCAGUAGGGAAUCUUCCGCAAUGGACGCAAGUCUGACGGAGCAACGCCGCGUGAGUGAUGAAGGGUUUCGGCUCGUAAAACUCUGUUGUUAAGGAAGAACACUUGAGGUAGUAACUGGCCUUGAGAUGACGGUACUUAACCAGAAAGCCACGGCUAACUACGUGCCAGCCGCCGCCGUAA
rnacentral:rRNA from 1 species